rnacentral:rRNA from 1 species
CCUUUUGGCCUUCGUCUCUUGUCGUCUAGUACGACUACACUCACAGGUCGUGACUAAUCCAACAACACUCAUAGCCUGUUGUCAACGAUGUAGUGACUUGUGGCUCUUUUAGUGUUGGUAAGAGACAGCGACUGAUACCCACUCUUCCACGUGACCGGCAGUGUAUUUGUGUAUCUACAAAUGUGGUUCCUAGACUAAUCCGUUGAUUCCCUUUUGUUACAGUUAAACCCUUUCCACAUGUUGUAUUAACCCUCAAAGAAGCCCAGACAACUCUUCCACGGUAAGUGUUUCUCCUGUGAGCCCUUAUAUACACCUUUCUAAUCGGCACUUGUUCGACUGUUACUACAGACCUUUUGCGAACUUCACAAACGACUGUAUGCAAGUUCUCUAAGUCCCAAGUGGAUACACCACGACCGACUGUUCUGUUCAUUCCAGUUUUUAGAUUACACCCGCUUACCGUCGUCGGCAUACGUUAUGUUUAAGAAACCCCUACACCAUUGCAAACUGUGCUGCAUGUCUUGUUUGGACAUACUAUACGGCAAGCCCAAUAAACAGCCUCAAUUGUUAGUAAUGGUCUCGUAGUAGGACCGCCCCCACAAUUACGCGCUACUAGUUCUUCUCUCGAAGCUCACCCAAAAGCGCCUUAAAGAAGCAUACUACCCGCCCGGACGGGGGUCUUGAUAUGAGUGUCUGGUCACAUCCCGCUACCUCCAGUGCUAGUCCUCUUGAAUAGCACUGUGACAGGUGGCAACCACGUUCACCGUACAGGAGUUCUUCCGCUUCCUUUGCAACCCGGGUGAUAUGUGCUUCUUCUCGCUAAAAGUCCGACUUAAAGUGUUCCAUCACUUGGUGUACAAUUGCCUUCUUCUCAAGCUUAGUCGAACCCGUCGCGACGACCUAUUCAUGUUGAACUCCUCAGUGCGGAUGUACUGUGUUUAUAUACUUUGGGCCUCCUUUACCCGGUUCGGUAUAAAGUCCGCACACAAAACGCGUUUCUACCGUUCGUGGGUCGCGUCACUCUCGCGUUUGGUGUACGACUUCAGUAUGUACGGGGGACGUUCGGGUUACGUACAGAAACAGUCCGUCAUAUACUCCGACGUUAAACUGUCUCUCGCGCUACUUUCGAUGUUCCUCUUCUCCUGGUACUAUCCCCGGGCCAUUCUACUUGAUUGGAGCGCUAUCUCGCGGUACGGUCGUUUUAUAUGUGAUCCUUGUACAAGCUCGCCAAACCGCUCGAGGACCAACUUCCUUGGCGCAUGUUACAGUGACUACAGCUAUCCUACUCCUCUAUGUAGUGGUGAGUGUUAUUGCGUCGCUUUUCCCUCUUCACCUCGUCCCAACUCAUACUCCAUUGUUAUUUGCUUCUGUACAGCUAGAAGUCAACGCUCACGCCGUUCAAGCUCGUAUGACCGUACGAAACGUCGGUAAGCAACUCCCACUACCUUUAAGAAGUGUACCUCCUCUAUGGUUUCGUAGUGUAGUACUUCGCCACCUGCUCCCUGCGCUCUCUACAUGACGGACCCGUGGACCAAGUCAUGGUCUUUCUGUCAAGUGUUUUGGACAGUAAGUGUAUGUCCGUACGUUGAGAUAUACACUUUCGAUACCUUCAGCACUCCUACCCUCUGCGUUCACGACGUAGUAUACUAGUACACUUGCGCCGAGAGCUGCGACACGAUGUCUCACCCCGUCGUUAACGCCUCUUCUCUCUACCCGACCGAAAGCUCCUAGCCGAGCAACUUGUAUGUGGACGUUAUGGUCCGGGUUUACCCCUUGAUCGCAAACAGGGCGACCCGUGACUUGUUACGGCCUCGGGGCCAGUAAGACAGUCACACUUACGUUACGUUUUAGAUCGUCGAGGUCUGUUCGUAUCUCCACGACCCUCUGGCUGUUCGUCGACUCUCUUCCGAGGCAUGCUCCCCAAUUCGUUCUCCUGUUCUAAGACGUCGUAUACGGCGGCGCUUCCAGUAUUCUUCUGCUACACGGGUCUUUCCCCCCUACGCGGUUUCUUCGGUGCUUUUGGACCGUUUACGUUCUUGACACCUUAUCUUCCCGUAGCUGCCUUAUGUACGUUCUCCGGCGAACCCCAACGGCUCGUGACUCAACAUACCUUAGCCUUACCGAGUACAAAGUCACUAAACCAACUCGCUAAAAGGAACUCACAAAUGCCACCCACUCGUUACGUAGACAUAAAAAUAGUCACAUCUGUCG